GAUGAAGAACGUAGCGAAAUGCGAUAAGUAAUGUGAAUUGCAGAAUUCAGUGAAUCAUCGAAUCUUUGAACGCACAUUGCGCCCAUUAGUAUUCUAGCGGGCAUGCCUGUUCGAGCGUCAUUAAGUCCACUUAAGCCCUGCUUAGUGUUGGGAGACUGCUCCAGCGGUGCUACCCUGUAGCUACCCUGCAGCUCCUCAAAGACAGCGGCGGAGUUGUGGUAUCCUCUGAGCUUAGUAACUUGUUCUAGCUUUCGAGUACACCACUUCCCCUGCCGUAAAACCCUUAAUUUUUAAUGGUUGACCUCGGAUCAGGUAGGAAUACCCGCUGAACUUAAGCAUAUCAAUAAGCGGAGGA
rnacentral:misc_RNA from 1 species